UUGAUCACAAAUUAGGGAUUAAAAUGCUAAAUGUUUCAGCGUCUGCUACAUAGAUCUACUUUUUGAUCCAUCUCUUAUUUGUCAACUUUAUUGUCAAUAAGUCAAUAUAAUAUAGAUUCAUAAAACAUUCAGACUUCAAAGAUAAUAUGAAUUUAAGUUUGCUGUAAUUGUAACACUAACACAUAGUUAUACAGUCAGACUAAUGAUGGUGGUUAAACAGAGGAAAACAUCGACUGAAGUCCUUCAUUAGCCUAACGACCGUCCUGUAAACAUGAUGGAGGCUCCGCCCCUUCACUGUAAAGGCCCCCUCAGGGCCGUACUGUACAGAUGCCCGUCUUAAUAAAGUCCAGUUUAUUGGUCCAGACUGUGUGCAGAUUAUACAAGCUUCAGUCACAGACUGUGGAGGAUCCGCGUUUCACAUGCUGGGACAUUAAAACAGUCACAAUAUAAUCUGACAUGUUGGUAAAAGAAGGAUAGAAAUAGUUAUUGACUAUGGAGCCCACACUGCCACUAACUGCAGUCUACAACACGUGUUUGAAGGAUAAAUCCAGGACGUGGAACCUUCUUAACUUCAGAUCUUUGUCUUUCUGAUGACGACUGAUGUAAUUGGACGUCCCACCUGCUCUCUCUCUCUCUCUUUCCCGUCCAGGUGUCGUUCCAUCUGGAGUUUGAGUUCAGCCGAUCGGUCUUCUUGGAUCACGUCCGGGUCGUCAUGACGAGCAGCAGUGAGGGAGACGAGGGUUACCCAGACAACAACAUCAAUGACAUCUUCCUCCCUCUGAAGUACCAAACGGACCUCCUCUUCACCAGAGACCCAAACCCUCCUCGCUUUGAAAUCAGAUCUGCAGACAGCUCUUCCUCCUCCUCUUCCUCCAGAGACCAACCAGACAGCAGCUCUCCCUCCUUCAACCUCACU